rnacentral:rRNA from 1 species
GACGAACGCUGGCGGCGUGCUUAACACAUGCAAGUCGAACGGAAAGGCCCUGCUUUUGUGGGGUGCUCGAGUGGCGAACGGGUGAGUAACACGUGAGUAACCUGCCCUUGACUUUGGGAUAACUUCAGGAAACUGGGGCUAAUACCGGAUAGGAGCUCCUGCUGCAUGGUUGGUGUUGGAAAGUGUCGGCGGUUGGGGAUGGACUCGCGGCUUAUCAGCUUGUUGGUGGGGUAGUGGCUUACCAAGGCUUUGACGGGUAGCCGGCCUGAGAGGGUGACCGGCCACAUUGGGACUGAGAUACGGCCCAGACUCCUACGGGAGGCAGCAGUGGGGAAUAUUGCACAAUGGGCGGAAGCCUGAUGCAGCAACGCCGCGUGCGGGAUGACGGCCUUCGGGUUGUAAACCGCUUUCGCCUGUGACGAAGCGUGAGUGACGGUAAUGGGUAAAGAAGCACCGGCUAACUACGUG